rnacentral:rRNA from 1 species
AUUGAACGCUGGCGGCAGGCCUAACACAUGCAAGUCGAACGAGUGGCGGACGGGUGAGUAAUGUCUGGUCAACUGCCUGAUGGAGGGGGAUAACUACUGGAAACGGUCGCUAAUACCGCCUACCAUAAUCUGUGCCCAGAUGGGAUUAGCUAGUUUGUGGGGUAACGGCUCACCAAGGCGAGGAUCCCUAGCUGGUCUGAGAGGAUGACCGGCCACACUGGAACUGAGACACGGCCCAGACUCCUACGGGAGGCAGCAGUGGGGAAUAUUGCGCAAUGGGCGAAAGCCGGAUGCAGCCACGCCGCGUGUAUGAAGAAGGCCUUCGGGUUGUAAAGUACUUUAAGCGGGGAGGAGGUAACCGCAGAAGAAGCACAGGCUAACUCCGGGGCAGCAGCCGCGGUAAUAC